GAGUGCUCAGCUGUGGCAGGGGAGCCUGGGGCAGGACGUACACUAUCUCCCUCUCAGUUUAAGAGGGCUGUCCUAUGCACAGGGCUGGUUCUUAAAGGGACAAGAGGACAUU